rnacentral:rRNA from 1 species
UACGUAGGGUGCGAGCGUUAAUCGGAAUUACUGGGCGUAAAGUGUGCGCAGGCGGCCGAGCAAGUCGGGUGUGAAAGCCCCGAGCUUAACUUGGGAACUGCGCUCGAAACUACUUGGCUAGAGUGUGGCAGAGGGAGGUGGAAUUCCACGUGUAGCGGUGAAAUGCGUAGAGAUGUGGAGGAACACCGAUGGCGAAGGCAGCCCCCUGGGCUAACACUGACGCUCAUGCACGAAAGCGUGGGGAGCAAACAGG